GAUGAACGCUGGCGGCGUGCCUAAUACAUGCAAGUCGAGCGAACAGAUAAGGAGCUUGCUCCUUUGACGUUAGCGGCGGACGGGUGAGUAACACGUGGGUAACCUACCUAUAAGACUGGGAUAACUUCGGGAAACCGGAGCUAAUACCGGAUAACAUUUGGAACCGCAUGGUUCUAAAGUGAAAGAUGGUUUUGCUAUCACUUAUAGAUGGACCCGCGCCGUAUUAGCUAGUUGGUAAGGUAACGGCUUACCAAGGCAACGAUACGUAGCCGACCUGAGAGGGUGAUCGGCCACACUGGAACUGAGACACGGUCCAGACUCCUACGGGAGGCAGCAGUAGGGAAUCUUCCGCGAUGGGCGAAAGCCUGACGGAGCAACGCCGCGUGAGUGAUGAAGGGUUUCGGCUCGUAAAACUCUGUUAUUAGGGAAGAACAAACGUGUAAGUAACUGUGCACGUCGUGACGGUACCUAAUCAGAAAGCCACGGCUAACUACG
rnacentral:rRNA from 1 species